UACGUAGGUGGCGAGCGUUAUCCGGAUUUACUGGGCGUAAAGCGUGUGCAGGCGGGGUGACAAGUGGUGUAUGAAAUCUCCGGGCUAAACCUGGAGGGGUUAUGCCAGACUGUCAUUCUAGAGUGCGAGAGAGGGGCGUGGAAUUCCGGGUGUAGUGGUGAAAUGCGCAGAUAUCGUAAGGAAGACCAGUGGCGAAGGCGGGUCUCUGGACAGUUCCUGACGCUGAGGCACGAAGGCCAGGGGAGCAAACGGG
rnacentral:rRNA from 1 species